rnacentral:tRNA from 1 species
GGGCCCAUAGCUCAGUCGGUAGAGCAGCGGACUCAUAAUCCGUAGGUCGGAGGUUCGAGUCCUCCUGGGCCCACCG